rnacentral:rRNA from 1 species
UACGUAGGGGGCUAGCGUUGUCCGGAAUCAUUGGGCGUAAAGAGCGUGUAGGCGGCCCGGUAAGUCCGCUGUAAAAGUCAAAGGCUCAACCUUUGAAUGUCAGUGGAUACUGCCGGGCUAGAGUCCGGAAGAGGCGAGUGGAACUCCUGGUGUAGCGGUGGAAUGCGCAGAUAUCAGGAAGAACACCAACGGCGAAGGCAGCUCGCUGGGACGGUACUGACGCUGAGGCGCGAAAGCGUGGGGAGCAAACAGG